UGGGGAAUAUUGGACAAUGGGCGGAAGCCUGAUCCAGCCAUGCCGCGUGUGUGAAGAAGGCCUUUUGGUUGUAAAGCACUUUAAGCGAGGAGGAGGCUACUUGGAUUAAUACUCUAGGAUAGUGGACGUUACUCGCAGAAUAAGCACCGGCUAACUCUGUGCCAGCAGCCGCGGUAAUACAGAGGGUGCGAGCGUUAAUCGGAUUUACUGGGCGUAAAGCGUGCGUAGGCGGCUUUUUAAGUCGGAUGUGAAAUCCCUGAGCUUAACUUAGGAAUUGCAUUCGAUACUGGGAAGCUAGAGUAUGGGAGAGGAUGGUAGAAUUCCAGGUGUAGCGGUGAAAUGCGUAGAGAUCUGGAGGAAUACCGAUGGCGAAGGCAGCCAUCUGGCCUAAUACUGACGCUGAGGUACGAAAGCAUGGGGAACAAACAGG
rnacentral:rRNA from 1 species